UACGUAGGGUGCAAGCGUUAAUCGGAAUUACUGGGCGUAAAGCGUGCGCAGGCGGUUAUGCAAGACAGAUGUGAAAUCCCCGGGCUCAACCUGGGAACUGCAUUUGUGACUGCAUAGCUAGAGUACGGUAGAGGGGGAUGGAAUUCCGCGUGUAGCAGUGAAAUGCGUAGAUAUGCGGAGGAACACCGAUGGCGAAGGCAGGUCUCUGGGCUGACACUGACGCUCAUGCACGAAAGCGUGGGGAGCAAACAGG
rnacentral:rRNA from 1 species